rnacentral:rRNA from 1 species
GGAAUAUUGGACAAUGGGGGAAACCCUGAUCCAGCCAUGCCGCGUGUGUGAAGAAGGCCUUUUGGUUGUAAAGCACUUUAAGCAGUGAAGAAGACUCCGUGGUUAAUACCCACGGACGAUGACAUUAGCUGCAGAAUAAGCACCGGCUAACUCUGUGCCAGCAGCCGCGGUAAUACAGAGGGUGCAAGCGUUAAUCGGAAUUACUGGGCGUAAAGGGAGCGUAGGUGGCUCUAUAAGUCAGAUGUGAAAUCCCCGGGCUUAACCUGGGAACUGCAUCUGAAACUGUAGAGCUAGAGUAUGUGAGAGGAAGGUAGAAUUCCAGGUGUAGCGGUGAAAUGCGUAGAGAUCUGGAGGAAUACCGAUGGCGAAGGCAGCCUUCUGGCAUAAUACUGACACUGAGGCUCGAAAGCGUGGGUAGCAAACAGGAUUAGAUACCCUGGUAGUCCACGCCGUAAACGAUGUCUACUAGUCGUUGGGUCCCUUGAGGACUUAGUGACGCAGC